rnacentral:sRNA from 1 species
CUUUUAUUGAAGAUAACUAUGCUAGCGUACGGUCAGACGUAGAAGGAGAUGGACAUUGCCUCUGCGUAAAAUGCAAAACACAAUCUAUCCAUGCAAGCAUUUAUUCACCGCCAGCUAUCUGGCGGUUUUUUUUUGCCGCUAUUUCCGCAUUUGUCACCGCUAUUUUCUUUUAUUCUGCA